AUUGAACGCUGGCGGCAUGCCUUACACAUGCAAGUCGAACGGUAACAGGUCUUCGGACGCUGACGAGUGGCGAACGGGUGAGUAAUACAUCGGAACGUGCCCAGUCGGGGGGGAUAACUACUCGAAAGAGUAGCUAAUACCGCAUACGAUCUGAGGAUGAACGCGGGGGACCUUGGGGCCUCGCGCGUUUGGAGCGGGCGAUGGCAGAUUAGGUAGUUGGUGGGAUAAAAGCUUACCAAGCCGACGAUCUGUAGCUGGUCUGAGAGGACGACCAGCCACACUGGGACUGAGACACGGCCCAGACUCCUACGGGAGGCAGCAGUGGGGAAUUUUGGACAAUGGGCGAAAGCCUGAUCCAGCAAUGCCGCGUGCAGGAUGAAGGCCUUCGGGUUGUAAACUGCUUUUGUACGGAACGAAAAAGCUCCUUCUAAUACAGGGGGCCCAUGACGGUACCGUAAGAAUAAGCACCGGCUAACUACGUGCCAGCCGCCGCCGUAAAAC
rnacentral:rRNA from 1 species